rnacentral:rRNA from 1 species
CCUACGGGUGGCAGCAGUGAGGAAUAUUGGUCAAUGGAGGCAACCCUGAACCAGCGACGCCGCGUGCGGGAAGACGUCCUUCUGUGUUUAAAACUGUAUCAGCACGGAGGAAAAUGACGGUACGUGAGUAAGAAGCCAAGUCUAACUACGAUCCGGCAGCCGCGAUAAUACGUAGGGGGCAGGCGUUAUCCGGAUUUACUGGGUGUAAAGGGAGCGUAGGCGGCUGUGCAGGUAGGGAGUGAAAUGCGGGGGCUCAACCCCAGCACUGCCUUGGAAACUGUACGGCUGGAGUGCAGGAGAGGUAAGUGGAAUUCAUAGUGUAGCGGUGAAAUGCGUAGAUAUUAGGAGGAACACCAGUGGCGAAGGCGGCUUACUGGACUGUAACUGACGUUGAGGCUCGAAAGCGUGGGGAGCAAACAGGAUUAGAUACCCGGGUAGUC